rnacentral:rRNA from 1 species
AUUGAACGCUGGCGGCAGGCCUAACACAUGCAAGUCGAGCGGAUGAAGGGAGCUUGCUCCUGGAUUCAGCGGCGGACGGGUGAGUAAUGCCUAGGAAUCUGCCUGGUAGUGGGGGAUAACGUCCGGAAACGGGCGCUAAUACCGCAUACGUCCUGAGGGAGAAAGUGGGGGAUCUUCGGACCUCACGCUAUCAGAUGAGCCUAGGUCGGAUUAGCUAGUUGGUGGGGUAAAGGCCUACCAAGGCGACGAUCCGUAACUGGUCUGAGAGGAUGAUCAGUCACACUGGAGCUGAGACACGGUCCUGACUCCUACGGGAGGCAGCAGUGGGGAAUGUUGGAAGAUGGGCGAAAGCCUGAUCCAGCCAUGCCGCGUGUGUGAAGAAGGUCUUCGGAUUGGAAAGCACUUUAAGUUGGGAGGAAGGGCAGUAAGUUAAUACCUGGCUGUUUUGACGUUACCAACAGAAUAAGCACCGGCUAACUUCGU